rnacentral:rRNA from 1 species
GCGGCGUGGAUUAGGCAUGCAAGUCGAGCGGGAUUCUAUUUUUUCAAUUCUUCGGAAGAGAAGUUUUAGAUGAGAGCGGCGAACGGGUGAGUAAUAUAUGGGUAAUUUGCCUCUUUGUUCGGGAUAGCCAUCGGAAACGAUGAUUAAUACCGGAUGUGUUCAGGUGCUGCAUAGCACCUUAUAUAAAGGCGGGGAUCUUCGGACCUGUCGCAAAGAGAUAAGCCCAUAUCCUAUCAGCUAGUUGGUGAGGUAACGGCUCACCAAGGCUUACGGGUAGCUGGUCUGAGAGGAUGAUCAGCCACACUGGAACUGAGACACGGUCCAGACUCCUACGGGAGGCUGCAGUCGAGAAUCAUUGUCAAUGCACGAAAGUGUGAACAUGCGACGCCGCGUGGAGGAAGACGGCCUUCGGGUUGUAAACUCCUGUCAGCAGGGAGUAAAAAUAGAUUACCUAAUAGGUGUUCUAUUUGAUAGUACCUGCAGAGGAAGUCACGGCUAACUCUGUGCCAGCAGCCGCGGUAAUACAGAGGUGGCGAACGUUGUUCGGAUUUACUGGGCGUAAAGGGUCCGCAGGCGGAUCGGUGUGUCAGAUGUGAAAGCCCACAGCUUAACUGUGGAAUUGCAUUUGAAACUGCCGGUCUUGAGUACUGGAGGGGAGAAGGGAACACUUGGUGUAGCGGUGAAAUGCGUAGAUAUCAAGUGGAACACCGGUGGCGAAGGCGCUUCUCUGGACAGAUACUGACGCUCAUGGACGAAAGUUAGGGUAGCGAAAGGGAUUAGAUACCCCUGUAGUCCUAACCGUAAACGGUGUGCACUAGACGUGGGUGGAUUUACCCCCAUCCGUGUCUGAGCUAACGCAUUAAGUGCACCGCCUGGGGAGUACGGUCGCAAGAUUAAAACUCAAAGGAAUUGACGGGGACCCGCACAAGCGGUGGAGCAUGUGGCUUAAUUCGAUGCAACGCGAAGAACCUUACCUGGACUUGACAUAUAGCUGCAUACGACCUGAAAGGGACGUAGCCUUCGAGGGUGCUAUACAGGUGCUGCAUGGCUGUCGUCAGCUCGUGCCGUGAGGUGUUGGGUUAAGUCCCGCAACGAGCGCAACCCUUGUGUUUAGUUGCCAGCACGUAAUGGUGGGAACUCUAAACAGACUGCUUGUGAAAACAAGAGGAAGGUGGGGAUGACGUCAAGUCAGUAUGGUCCUUAUGUCCAGGGCUGC